rnacentral:rRNA from 1 species
CCUACGGGAGGCUGCAGUGGGGAAUAUUGGACAAUGGGCGAAAGCCUGAUCCAGCCAUGCCGCGUGUGUGAAGAAGGCCUUCGGGUUGUAAAGCACUUUCAGUGGGGAAGAAAGCCUUGGGGCUAAUACCCUCGAGGAAGGACAUCACCCACAGAAGAAGCACCGGCUAACUCCGUGCCAGCAGCCGCGGUAAUACGGAGGGUGCGAGCGUUAAUCGGAAGUACUGGGCGUAAAGCGCGCGUAGGCGGUCUGAUAAGCCGGUUGUGAAAGCCCCGGGCUCAACCUGGGAACGGCAUCCGGAACUGUCAGGCUAGAGUGCAGGAGAGGAAGGUAGAAUUCCCGGUGUAGCGGUGAAAUGCGUAGAGAUCGGGAGGAAUACCAGUGGCGAAGGCGGCCUUCUGGACUGACACUGACGCUGAGGUGCGAAAGCGUGGGUAGCAAACAGGAUUAGAUACCCGGGUAGUC